CGUCGCCGUAGCAACGCCGGGCAUACCCUGCCCGGCGUCGGGGCGGAUGGCCCACCCGCCGUCCGCUCUCCUUCCCCCCGCACAGACUCUGCUACGGCGGCGCCCCCUUCCCCUUACGCCGCGC
rnacentral:ncRNA from 16 species